GGCGUUGUGGUAGAAUGGUUAUACGGCGGAUUGCAAAUCCGCGUCGAUGCAGGUUCGAGUCCUGUUGACGCCU
rnacentral:tRNA from 1 species